GAAUUUUGGACAAUGGGCGCAAGCCUGAUCCAGCCAUGCCGCGUGUGUGAAGAAGGCCUUCGGGUUGUAAAGCACUUUCGGACGGAACGAAAUCGCGCGGGUGAAUAUCCCGCGUGGAUGACGGUACCGUAAGAAGAAGCACCGGCUAACUACGUGCCAGCAGCCGCGGUAAUACGUAGGGUGCGAGCGUUAAUCGGAAUUACUGGGCGUAAAGUGUGCGCAGGCGGCGCCGCAUGUCGAGUGUGAAAGCCCCGGGCUUAACUUGGGAAUUGCGCUCGAAACUACGGUGCUGGAGUGUGGCAGAGGAAGGUGGAAUUCCACGUGUAGCGGUGAAAUGCGUAGAGAUGUGGAGGAACACCGAUGGCGAAGGCAGCCUUCUGGGCCAACACUGACGCUCAUGCACGAAAGCGUGGGGAGCAAACAG
rnacentral:rRNA from 1 species